UACAGAGGGGGCAAGCGUUGUUCGGAAUUACUGGGCGUAAAGGGCGCGUAGGCGGCCUUCUAAGUCGAACGUGAAAUCCCUGGGCUCAACCCAGGAACUGCGUCCGAUACUGGAUGGCUUGAAUUCGGGAGAGGGAUGCAGAAUUCCAGGUGUAGCGGUGAAAUGCGUAGAUAUCUGGAGGAACACCGGUGGCGAAGGCGGCAUCCUGGACCAACACUGACGCUGAGGAGCGAAAGCCAGGGGAGCAAAGCGGG
rnacentral:rRNA from 1 species